AAUGGGCGAAAGCCUGAUCCAGCCAUGCCGCGUGUGUGAAGAAGGUCUUCGGAUUGUAAAGCACUUUAAGUUGGGAGGAAGGGCUGUAGGCUAAUAUCCUGCAGUUUUGACGUUACCAACAGAAUAAGCACCGGCUAACUUCGUGCCAGCAGCCGCGGUAAUACGAAGGGUGCAAGCGUUAAUCGGAAUUACUGGGCGUAAAGCGCGCGUAGGUGGUUUUGUAAGUUGGAUGUGAAAGCCCCGGGCUCAACCUGGGAACUGCAUCCAAAACUGCAUGACUAGAGUACGGUAGAGGGUGGUGGAAUUUCCUGUGUAGCGGUGAAAUGCGUAGAUAUAGGAAGGAACACCAGUGGCGAAGGCGACCACCUGGACUGAUACUGACACUGAGGUGCGAAAGCGUGGGGAGCAAA
rnacentral:rRNA from 1 species